AAUUCACUUCCUCCCAAUCACUUCUGCAGGGACGAUUCCUUGCUUCUCUUUCCUCCGAAUCACCAGCAAUAAAUGCGGUUACACGAAGUAAGAUCCAUGGGCUUGUUGCUUGCGGUGGUGAGGAUGGUGCGGUUGAGUGUUUUGAUAUGAGGAAAAAAACUUCUGUUGGCAGAAUUAAUAUUCUAGCUGUUAGUUCUGAAGAUUAUUCUCAGGAGGUCACGUCUUUG